rnacentral:rRNA from 1 species
AUGCACGCUGGCGGCGUGCCUCAUCCCUGCAAGUCGCGCGCACAGACGAGGAGCUUGCUCCUCUGACGUUAGCGGCGGACGGGUGAGUAACACGUGGAUAACCUACCUAUAAGACUGGGAUAACUUCGGGAAACCGGAGCUAAUACCGGAUAAUAUAUUGAACCGCAUGGUUCAAUAGUGAAAGACGGUUUUGCUGUCACUUAUAGAUGGAUCCGCGCCGCAUUAGCUAGUUGGUAAGGUAACGGCUUACCAAGGCAACGAUGCGUAGCCGACCUGAGAGGGUGAUCGGCCACACUGGAACUGAGACACGGUCCAGACUCCUACGGGAGGCAGCAGUAGGGAAUCUUCCGCAAUGGGCGAAAGCCUGACGGAGCAACGCCGCGUGAGUGAUGAAGGUCUUCGGAUCGUAAAACUCUGUUAUUAGGGAAGAACAAAUGUGUAAGUAACUAUGCACGUCUGGACGGUACCUAAUCAGAAAGCCACGGCUAACUACGU